rnacentral:rRNA from 1 species
CCGCAUAAGAUUGUAGUACCGCAUGGUACAGCAAUUAAAGGAGUAAUCCGCUAUGAGAUGGACCCGCGUCGCAUUAGCUAGUUGGUGAGGUAACGGCUCACCAAGGCGACGAUGCGUAGCCGACCUGAGAGGGUGAUCGGCCACAUUGGGACUGAGACACGGCCCAGACUCCUACGGGAGGCAGCAGUGGGGAAUAUUGCACAAUGGGGGAAACCCUGAUGCAGCAACGCCGCGCGAGUGAUGAAGGCCUUCGGGUCGUAAAGCUCUUUUACCCGGGAUGAUAAUGACAGUACCGGGAGAAUAAGCUCCGGCUAACUCCGUGCCAGCAGCCGCGGUAAUACGGAGGGAGCUAGCGUUGUUCGGAAUUACUGGGCGUAAAGCGCACGUAGGCGGUUAUUCAAGUCAGAGGUGAAAGCCCGGGGCUCAACCCCGGAACUGCCUUUGAAACUAGAUGACUGGAAUCUUGGAGAGGUCAGUGGAAUUCCGAGUGUAGAGGUGAAAUUCGUAGAUAUUCGGAAGAACACCAGUGGCGAAGGCGACUGACUGGACAAGUAUUGACGCUGAGGUGCGAAAGCGUGGG